ACUCCUACGGGAGGCAGCAGUGGGGAAUAUUGCACAAUGGGCGCAAGCCUGAUGCAGCCAUGCCGCGUGUAUGAAGAAGGCCUUCGGGUUGUAAAGUACUUUCAGCAGUGAGGAAGGUGGAUAUGUUAAUAGCAUAUUCUAUUUGUACGUUAGCUGCAGAAGAAGCACCGGCUAACUCCGUGCCAGCAGCCGCGGUAAUACGGAGGGUGCGAGCGUUAAUCGGAAUUACUGGGCGUAAAGCGCAUGCAGGUGGUUUGUUAAGUCAGAUGUGAAAGCCCGGGGCUCAACCUCGGAAUUGCAUUUGAAACUGGCAAACUAGAGUACUGUAGAGGGGGUAGAAUUUCAGGUGUAGCGGUGAAAUGCGUAGAGAUCUGAAGGAAUACCGGUGGCGAAGGCGGCCCCUGGACAGAUACUGACACUCAGAUGCGAAAGCGUGGGAGCAAACAGGAUUAGAU
rnacentral:rRNA from 1 species